rnacentral:rRNA from 1 species
CUCAGAUUGAACGCUGGCGGCAGGCCUAACACAUGCAAGUCGAGCGGUAGCACAGAGAGCUUGCUCUCGGGUGACGAGCGGCGGACGGGUGAGUAAUGUCUGGGAAACUGCCUGAUGGAGGGGGAUAACUACUGGAAACGGUAGCUAAUACCGCAUAACGUCGCAAGACCAAAGUGGGGGACCUUCGGGCCUCAUGCCAUCAGAUGUGCCCAGAUGGGAUUAGCUAGUAGGUGGGGUAACGGCUCACCUAGGCGACGAUCCCUAGCUGGUCUGAGAGGAUGACCAGCCACACUGGAACUGAGACACGGUCCAGACUCCUACGGGAGGCAGCAGUGGGGAAUAUUGCACAAUGGGCGCAAGCCUGAUGCAGCCAUGCCGCGUGUGUGAAGAAGGCCUUCGGGUUGUAAAGCACUUUCAGCGGGGAGGAAGGCGAUAAGGUUAAUAACCUUGUUGAUUGACGUUACCCGCAGAAGAAGCACCGGCUAACUCCGUGCCAGCAGCCGCGGUAAUACGGAGGGUGCAAGCGUUAAUCGGAAUUACUGGGCGUAAAGCGCACGCAGGCGGUCUGUCAAGUCGGAUGUGAAAUCCCCGGGCUCAACCUGGGAACUGCAUUCGAAACUGGCAGGCUAGAGUCUUGUAGAGGGGGGUAGAAUUCCAGGUGUAGCGGUGAAAUGCGUAGAGAUCUGGAGGAAUACCGGUGGCGAAGGCGGCCCCCUGGACAAAGACUGACGCUCAGGUGCGAAAGCGUGGGGAGCAAACAGGAUUAGAUACCCUGGUAGUCCACGCCGUAAACGAUGUCGAUUUGGAGGUUGUGCCCUUGAGGCGUGGCUUCCGGAGCUAACGCGUUAAAUCGACCGCCUGGGGAGUACGGCCGCAAGGUUAAAACUCAAAUGAAUUGACGGGGGCCCGCACAAGCGGUGGAGCAUGUGGUUUAAUUCGAUGCAACGCGAAGAACCUUACCUGGUCUUGACAUCCACAGAACUUAGCAGAGAUGCUUUGGUGCCUUCGGGAACUGUGAGACAGGUGCUGCAUGGCUGUCGUCAGCUCGUGUUGUGAAAUGUUGGGUUAAGUCCCGCAACGAGCGCAACCCUUAUCCUUUGUUGCCAGCGGUUAGGCCGGGAACUCAAAGGAGACUGCCAGUGAUAAACUGGAGGAAGGUGGGGAUGACGUCAAGUCAUCAUGGCCCUUACGACCAGGGCUACACACGUGCUACAAUGGCAUAUACAAAGAGAAGCGACCUCGCGAGAGCAAGCGGACCUCAUAAAGUAUGUCGUAGUCCGGAUUGGAGUCUGCAACUCGACUCCAUGAAGUCGGAAUCGCUAGUAAUCGUAGAUCAGAAUGCUACGGUGAAUACGUUCCCGGGCCUUGUACACACCGCCCGUCACACCAUGGGAGUGGGUUGCAAAAGAAGUAGGUAGCUUAACCUUCGGGAGGGCGCUUACCACUUUGUGAUUCAUGACUGGGGUGAA